rnacentral:rRNA from 1 species
GACGAACGCUGGCGGCGCGCUUAACACAUGCAAGUCGAGCGAGAACCGGGACUUCGGUCCCGGGGACAGCGGCGAACGGGUGAGUAACACGUGGGUAAUCUGCCCUCGAUUCUGGGAUAGCCCGGGGAAACCCGGAUUAAUACCGGAUAGCCUUUCGAGCCUUCGGGCGCGAAAGAAAAGGUAGCUUCGGCCUCCGAUCGAGGAUGAGCCCGCGGUGGAUUAGCUUGUUGGCGGGGUAAUGGCCCACCAAGGCGACGAUCCAUAGCUGGUCUGAGAGGACGAUCAGCCACACUGGGACUGAGACACGGCCCAGACUCCUACGGGAGGCAGCAGUGGGGAAUCUUGCGCAAUGGGCGAAAGCCUGACGCAGCGACGCCGCGUGGGGAAGAAGGCCUUAGGGUUGUAAACCUCUUUCAGGUGGGACGAAGCCACUCGGGUGAAUAGCCCAGAGGGUGACGGUACCGCCAGAAGAAGCCCCGGCUAACUACGUG